rnacentral:tRNA from 1 species
GGGAUUGUCGCUCAGUGGUAGAGCGCUUGCCUAGCACAUGGCAAGGCCCUGAGUUCGAUUCUCAGCACCA